CAGUAGCCUCGGGAAAACGGAGGGGGCUAGCGUUGUUCGGAAUUACUGGGCGUAAAGCGCACGUAGGCGGCUUGGUAAGUUAGAGGUGAAAGCCUGGAGCUCAACUCCAGAAUUGCCUUUAAGACUGCCGAGCUAGCAGGUGAGAGAGGUGAGUGGAAUUCCGAGUGUAGAGGUGAAAUUCGUAGAUAUUCGGAAGAACACCAGUGGCGAAGGCGGCUCACUGGCUCAUACUGGACGCUGAGGUGCGAAAGCGUGGGGAGCAAACAGGAUUAGAUACCCCUGUAGUCCCUGUCUCUUAUAC
rnacentral:rRNA from 1 species